GGACGUGAGAGGGAUCUGGCUGUGGCGUCUGUCACUAAGUUGAUCGCCAAGGGUCAAUUCAGCUGAUCUGGCUGGCAAGGCAUGUAUGAUCUUCCUUCCUCAUUGACCCAUGUGCAUCCCUUCUGACACUGCAGCUUCAGCUCUGUUAGGUGGGAGAGGAGGAUAAUCCUUUGGUCAAGGGUAUAGGAGUAGCUGUGCUCCAUGGCUAGAAUCUGUAAACAAACUCUCAAGGUCCAUUUGUAAAAAGAACAUCAGGUAGUCAAAUUUCCAAGACUCCAGACACACCCAGAUGAGGUAGUACAUGGAGCAGUCUGCCUUUCUUU
rnacentral:snRNA from 1 species